ensembl:lncRNA
GUUCGAUCCCUGGUACAGAAAGAAAGAAAAGAAAGAAAAAAAAAAUGAUUCCAUGCUACUACUUAAAACAUCCAGACUGGUUCUCUGUGGUCUAAAACUAAAUUCCAGGUCUCCUGGUGUGCUCUCCACCCUGCCUCCUCCAGUGAAGAGAAUGUUUGCUAACUGUAAGCCUCUGCGUGUGAGUCCUUCCACCUAGAAUAUCAGUCCAUCGCUUGUUCUUGCAGUGACCUCUUGAUCAUCCUUCAAACCCCCAACUCGGUUGUUAACCACCUUUGUGAAUUCUUUCCUGAGCCCUUGUGUGUUGGAAUCAUCUGCUUGCAUGCCUCGCUCCAAGCAGUUCACUUCUCUGAGAACAAUUUGUCCUAUUUUUGUGUCAACUGAUCUCCCACCGAUAGAAAUGAAGCCACAGUCCCACCUGUGAAGAGGACUUACAGCCCCUCAACUCCCUCCCUCCCUGCUGGGAGUCUUGGGGUUCCCAGCAUGUCCUUCUCAUGUGUCCUACCCUGUACUCUGCUGCCCUGAGGCUGCCCUUUGGACACCCAAGGCUGUUCAGUUAAUCACCUCAGUGAUUUCCUGACCAUGUUCUUUUCCUUGAAUCCUCCAGGGCAAGUCUGUGAGGUGGGAAAAUGACAUUCUCUCCUUCAUUCUUACACUGGCUCUGGAUGGCAGUUGGUCCCCUGGGCACUGAACCCACUGGGCCGUUUCUCCCUGUGUUACAAUCUCAUAAAAACCCUCCUUAACUGCUUUGGCUUCUGUGUGAAUUCCCCUUCCUCUUUAGGCCCUAGUCCUGGCCCAGGACAGAGAGAGAAUGAGGUCCUGUGAGGUCCACACUGGUCCUGACGCUUGGAGACCACUUCGGAUACAGACGUGCUCAGGGUUGUUGAAGGAUGAGUGCAUGAAUGAAUCUCAGGCAAGGGCCAGCUUCUCUGGGUGCAGCCUCCCUCACUGCUAAGGUAGAAUAACAGCCCAAUACACAGGGUGACUGUGAGCAUCAGCCUGGCACACUGGACAGGAUCUAGGACAUUAAUAAGUGCCUGGCAAAUUCCAGUUUGAAUGGCAAUCAAAGAAAUACAUACUUGAAUUAAAACAAAAAAAGAAGCCAGAGAGGAAAAUUCUUCAGAGGGAAUGGAAACCACAUUAACAGCAUGGAAUUAAAAUUAAAGAUGUGUGAUGCUCUAUGAUGUUUGUAAGAACACAAAAUUAUUUUAAAUUUCCAGCUUUAAUUUCCAGUGUAUGGUUUCAACUGCAUUGCAGCCCUUACAUUGCUGGGGAUUAGUCUCCCCAGAGGAUGAGCUAGUGGCAGGGAGAAUCAAACAGCUGCUGCAGGAGAAGCGAAAUGAAGGGAGCAUGGAGGAGGGGCUGGAAGAAUGAUCUGAAAAAGGAUUAGAAGGAUGCCUGAGUGGGCAAAGGACUUUCUAAUGCGUUCUAUUUGAUUUGCUUGGUGAUGCACACGGCAUUUCCAAUUGGCUGCAUCGCCAGUGAGAUGCCCAACUCACCUCCCCACCUUACGCCCCCACCUCCUAUUCUGAGCUUCAGUCCGUCCUAACCCACAUGAGGGCUGGGAAUGAGGGAACGAGGCAAGAGAGGUAAAAAAGUAACUGGCAGAGAUCACACAGCCAGCCGCAGAGACGGGACCCAAUCCUGGGUACUAGGAGUCUACAGGCCCACCGUCUUAACCACACUGCUACACCACCUGCCAAUCACGGCGCACUAAAGUUCUCUUGUGUUGAUGGAUGCAUCAGAAUGACACUGCAUGAAAACUGCGAAUCAGAAGGCCAUGGAGCCCCCCAGUGGUACCUGCGAUGAAUGAAUAUGUUUUUGCCUUUCUCUUCUUUUGCAGUUUCUCAGAAUUCUAUCUCUUCUUUUCCUUCUCCACUUUUUUUUCCUCUUGCCUAAUUUUUCAUCCUAGUUUUCUUAAUCCGCAUGCAUGCCUCGGGCCUGUCAGGGGAGGUGGUGUACUUAGCUGUGCCCUAAAACCUGAUAUUAAUUUCUCCAAGACCUAACAGAGACCCAGUGAUGCUAAUAAUGAGCAGUGUUUUCAUGAGCAAAUUACUUCCCCUCUCUGCCUGUUCCCAUACUGUGAAAUGAAAGAGUCGGGUUAGGUGAACAUGGAAAUUCUUUUUCAGCUGUGCCACUUUAUGACUCUAAUGGUAACCAAGAGCAUUUAUUUGACUCCUCUAGUGAAACUCAGAUGAAAGAUGGCUGAAUUUUGGGUCAGGAAGAUUGGAGCACUGAAAAAAAAAAUAUACUCUAUAAUAGCAUCACAGGGUAGCUUGUUAUAAAAAUGGCUUAUUUCUUUUUUUCUUCUUUUUUUGGGGGAAAUGAUGAGACAGAGUCUUGCUAUGUAGUUCAGGCUGGCCUUCAACUGACUGUGUAACCCAGGCUGGCCUCAGACUUGUGGCAAUCCUCAGCACUCAGCCUCCUGAGUGCUGAGAUUACAGGUGUGUGCCACCACACCCAGAAAAAAUGACUUAUGCCAAUGUCAUCAUUUUAAGACUCUGUGGCUGAGCAACAUGCAUUUGUGUUCUAUAUGAAAGAGCACUGCAACCCAGUGUUGUCAAAAAGCAUAGUUAUUAUCUGAGAAGUUUCUAAGAUGGCUUCCACUUACCCCUCCUCCUGAUUCAUGCCCUUGUGCAAUCCACACCUCUCAC